rnacentral:snRNA from 1 species
CUUCAUUCCUGAACUUAUACUAAAACUGGAACAAUAACAAGAUUAGCGAGACCUCUACGUAAGGAUGACAUGCAAUCUCGUGAAGAAAAUUUAA